GCUAAGAUGUUGUAUGAUGAUGGAUACUUCUGCUCAUCAGCCAGGAAAAGUAACACAUUCUUCAGCCACCAAACUCCUGAACAACUGGCAUUUUCUUAAAAGGAACAGUCCAGGUUUAUCAAUGAAAUCAUUGUUAAUAGCGCUCCAAGCGCUUUGCUCUCAUAAUGGAAGAGAUGGUUGCAUCAACUUUGAAGCUGCUAAAAGAACAUUCAGGAGUGGAGAUUUAUGCAGUAUGAACUUGCAAUGUCCAAAGCUACAAUAAAACCGUGUGCCCUGCUUGUCAUACUAACCCAUUUGCCAUACAUAUUGAUGGCAACAAAAAGUUAUUCCGAUAUGAAAAAGUUGGAAGAGGAUUGAGGGAAUCAUAUUAUUCAGAGAGUGUCUUUGCUGCUGACAAUGAUGUGACUAAUCACCUGAACCAUAUAGAGCUUAAAAACAAAGUUACUCUUCAAGAAAAGAGAAAUGCUGCAGAAAAGCUGCAUAUGUACAACAGGAUUAUGGAAGAACAAAAUGUCAUUCAACUGGAAAUGAAAAGUUACUUGGAUUAUACAGAAAAAAGCUUGAAG